GACGAACGCUGGCGGCGUGCUUAACACAUGCAAGUCGAACGAGUGGCGAACGGGUGAGUAAUACGUGAGUAACCUGCCCUCUUUUUGGGAUAAGCCUUGGAAACGGGGUCUAAUACCGGAUAAAGGGGGAUGGGCUCGCGGCCUAUCAGCGUGUUGGUGGGGUGAUGGCCUACCGACGCGGUGACGGGUAGCGGGCAUGAGAGGGUGACCUGCCACAGUGACACGGAGAGACGGCCCAGAGUACGAAGGAGGGGAGAAGAGGGGAAUAUUGCAGAAUGGGUGAAAGACCGAUGCAGCGACGCCGAGGGAGGGCUGAGGGCUUUCAGGUUGUAAACCUGGGGCGCAAUCGAACCGGUAGGUGGAGAAGAAGCGCCGGCUAACUACGUGCCAGCAGCCGCGGUAAUUC
rnacentral:rRNA from 1 species